rnacentral:rRNA from 1 species
UAGGGAAUCUUCCGCAAUGGGCGCAAGCCUGACGGAGCAACGCCGCGUGAGUGAUGAAGGUUUUCGGAUCGUAAAGCUCUGUUGCCAGGGAAGAACGCUUGGGAGAGUAACUGCUCUCAGGGUGACGGUACCUGAGAAGAAAGCCCCGGCUAACUACGUG